CCUACGGUGUGCAGCAGUGAGGAAUAUUGGUCAAUGGGCGCGAGCCUGAACCAGCCAAGUAGCGUGAAGGAUGACUGCCCUACGGGUUGUAAACUUCUUUUAUAAAGGGAUAAGGUGAGGCACGUGUGCCUUUUUGUAUGUACUUUAUGAAUAAGGAUCGGCUAACCCCGUGCCAGCAGCGGCGGUAAUACGGAGGAGCCGAGGUUUAUCCGGAUUUAUUGGGUUGAAAGGGAGCGUAGAUGGGUUGUUAUGUCAGUUGUGAGAGUUUGCGGCUCAACCGUAAAAUUGCAAUUGAGACUGGCAGUCUUGAGUACAGUUGAGGUAGGCGGACUUCGUGGUGUAGCGGUGAAAUGCUUAGAUAUCACGAAGAACCCCGAUUGCGAAGGCAGCUUACUAAACUGUGACUGACAUUGAUGCUCGAAAGUGUGGGUAUCAAACAGGAUUAGAUACCCGAGUAGUC
rnacentral:rRNA from 1 species